rnacentral:rRNA from 1 species
UACGUAGGGUGCGAGCGUUGUCCGGAAUUAUUGGGCGUAAAGAGCUCGUAGGCGGUCUGUCACGUCGGAUGUGAAAACUCGGGGCUCAACCCCGAGCCUGCAUUCGAUACGGGCAGACUUGAGUUCGGCAGGGGAGACUGGAAUUCCUGGUGUAGCGGUGAAAUGCGCAGAUAUCAGGAGGAACACCGGUGGCGAAGGCGGGUCUCUGGGCCGAUACUGACGCUGAGGAGCGAAAGCGUGGGGAGCGAACAGG